rnacentral:pre_miRNA from 1 species
CGUGCACCAGUGGGGUCCCUUGGCCUGGCCUGUGCCCUCUCGCAAUCCAGGACCCCUCGGGGGAUGUCAGAGAGCCACUUUCGGCCUGAUCCCACAGGCCAGGCCAAGGGACCCCACUGGUGCAUG